GAUGAACGCUAGCGGCAGGCUUAAUACAUGCAAGUCAAGGGGGUAGCAAUACAACCGGCGCACGGGUGAGUAACACGUACACAACAUACCAUAUACUGAGGUAUAGCUUCGGGAAACUGAAGGUAAACCCUCAUAGUAUUGUGAAAGGGCAUCUUUUUACAAUUAAAGUUUCGACGGUAUAUGAUUGGUGUGCGUUUGAUUAGCUAGUUGGUAGGGUAACGGCCUACCAAGGCAACGAUCAAUAGCUGGCGUGAGAGCGCGACCAGCCACACUGGAACUGAGACACGGUCCAGACUCCUACGGGAGGCAGCAGUAGGGAAUAUUGGACAAUGGGCGAAAGCCUGAUCCAGCCAUGCCGCGUGAUAGAUGAAGGCCCUCUGGGUUGUAAAUAUCUUUUAUCUGGGAAGAAACACUUCUAUUCUUAGAAGCUUGACGGUACCAGAGGAAUAAGCACCGGCGAACUCCGUG
rnacentral:rRNA from 1 species